GAUGAAGAACGUAGCGAAAUGCGAUAAGUAAUGUGAAUUGCAGAAUUUAGUGAAUCAUCGAAUCUUUGAACGCACAUUGCGCCCUUUGGUAUUCCGAAGGGCAUGCCUGUUCGAGCGUCAUUAUCACCCCUCAAGCCCCUUGGCUUGGUGUUGGACGGCUGGCGAUGACCUCCGGGUCGUCGCCCCUCCCAAAGACAAUGACGGCGGCCUCGUUGGACCCCCGGUACACUGAGUUCUUCACGGGACACGUACUGGAUCAAGGGUGCGCGGAGCACGGUCUUAACCAUUUCACCCCUCGCGGGCGGAAUAAUUUUGCUAGGUUGACCUCGGAUCAGGUAGGGAUACCCGCUGAACUUAAGAAUAUCAAUAAGCGGAGGA
rnacentral:misc_RNA from 1 species